ACUCAGGAUCCAUACCUACAAGUGGAGCAUCUGCACCUGUUGGAGGUUUUGCAAAUGGUAUGCCAAACAUGCAGGGCCCAUCAAAUGCAAGUGGAGGCCAAAUGUAUCCUCAGGGUGGCGCCUUUAAUCGGGGUCAACCUGGGCAAAUUCCAAUGCAUCCAGGGUAUAAUCCCUACCAGACUAGGGGUCAGUCUGCUAUGCCUCAACCUCCACCAGGUCCGCCACCGCAUGGGCAAACACCUCAGUAGACCAUUUUCUAUCCGACUUCACUUAUCUAGGCCCCCCUCCCCUCUUCUUCUCUCCCCCUCGUUUCAGGACAGCGUGUUUGUAUGUAAAUCCUCACCUUUGCCUUAUAGCUUUGUUUGUACUUUAGCAUAGAAGUGACACAUUGAGAUGGCUUUGUCGAGCAAACACAAGAAAAUUGCACGAGUUAUCCGGAGUGACUGGGCGUAAAGUGUCCAUAGUAUGUCCAUCAAAUUUCAGGGCUAACCCUGGGCAGACAGUGGAAGCUACAAACUGGAGUACCGAAAAUUGUCAUCUGUUCAAUUUUGUUAUUGUUAUGUACGUCGGCCUAGAAUUGACUCAUUGAGAUGGCUUUGGUUGAGCAGCAAAAAUCAUUUAAAUUCCGGUA